AUACGGAGGGUGCAAGCGUUAUCCGGAUUCACUGGGUUUAAAGGGAGCGUAGGUGGGUUGGUAAGUCAGUGGUGAAAUCUCCGAGCUUAACUUGGAAACUGCCAUUGAUACUAUCGAUCUUGAAUACUGUGGAGGUAAGCGGAAUAUAUCAUGUAGCGGUGAAAUGCUUAGAUAUGAUAUAGAACACCAAUAGCGAAGGCAGCUUACUACGCAGUUAUUGACACUGAGGCUCGAAAGCGUGGGGAUCAAACAGGAUUAGAUACCCUGGUAGUCCACGCCCUAAACUAUGGAUACUCGACAUCAGCGAUACACUGUUGGUGUCUGAGCGAAAGCAUUAAGUAUCCCACCUGGGAAGUACGUCCGCAAGGAUGAA
rnacentral:rRNA from 1 species